rnacentral:tRNA from 1 species
UGGAAUAGCUCAGUUGGUACAGCAUGAGACUCUUAAUCUCAGGGCUGUGGAUUUCAGCCCAACAUUGGGCAAAA